ACCGCAAAUUCCAAACAAUGGGUAGACGUUCCCACAUACAUAUGUACCUGCAUAUGAUGGACUCUGGUUCAUUAUAUAUUUCGUUGUAAUUCCUUUUGUGAAACAUUUUGUUACUAUGUUACAUUACGCAAUAUAUUUUGUCAUCGUAAAUCAUUAGUGUUAUAAUUUACUAUAUUGGUUGAUUAUGUUAUAUAUAUUGUCAUUGCUUUUCAUAACGUUAUAUUUACAUUCUAUGUUGCAAUUGUCUAUAUGUCGUUAUAAAACCAAAUUGUAGCUUUGAGACUGUAUACUUUAUUUUACAGUGAUUUGAUGAGUAUGUUCAUGGUAAAACAAAUUUCAAAUAGCUGCCAAUUACUUUCGGUACACUAUCAACAGAACAAGGGAGCCUUAAAAUGUGUUAGCAUUUAGUAACAUCAACCACAAAAAAACGAAGACAAAAACCAUCACAGUUAUUACGCUGAAUAUUCAUUACAAGAAAUGUAGUUUUCACAAAAAUAUUAUAAGCGUUAUUCUAGAUACAAAAAUUACAAAAUUUAUUGACGUCGUCAUAGGGGCUCGUUUCCGAAUUUCAAGAAAUGUAAGACAUGGGGACAGCAAAAGUCAAGCAUUUAUAAAAACCUUUUGAAAAUCUGGGACAUCGUUAUGGUUUUCAGAUGGGUAUACAUGUAUAUAUACACUGAUUUGACCGAUUUGAAAUCCAAUCUCUUUCAAUAUCCUUCGAAUGUUUUUCACCUACUGUCAGGAUGACUUUCAUUUGGAGUUUAAGAGCCGAAAAUAACGCAAAUUAUGUCGAAAGAAACAUAACCGUUUCUGAGGAAACAAAAGAAUCCACCCGGUGCAAUACACGUUCAACGCCAGAACACUUCUAAAUGAUAAUUAUAUAUCAGUGCGCCAAAAUCCUCUCUAAUUAUCACACAAAAAAUGCCUACUUAGCAGCCAAACAUAGAUCAGUAGAGGAAUAAGGUUUUAUUCACAUUUGUUACACAACAUGUGUCAUAAAACAACACAGAAUACCUUGCCGUUUUGGUAUAGAAUGUACAAUAAAAAACCCUCAGAACAAAUAUUUAGAUGCCGUCUCCUCUUCUGCACAAUACCACCUGAUCGGCAAAUCAUAGCGAAUUCUCGCGCGACCACAUUAAAUUACAAUGUCACGUUUUCAAAAUGAAAUCUGGGGUUCCGUGAUUAAUUAAAUCAGACUUUGUGGAGCUUUAAACAGAUCUGGCUUCAUUUAAAAUGUAAUAAUGCUUUAAAUUUAACACUGAAAUAAAAUAUAUAUUAAGUUUAGCGUUUCUUUGACGCUAUAUAGCCAAUAUAAUCAUACAUGCGAUGUCAACUUGAAACUGAAAUGUUUUAAAUGUGUAUUCCGCAAACGAUAUUAUCGAUAUGCUUGCAUCAUACCACUAAUAAUUAAUAGAUAUGAUUAAUCAUUAUGGUCUUUUAGAGUUAAUCGGUAUACUGGAGUAUUGGGAUAUAUAAAUGUUUUCUUUUGUAUAAAUUGUGUAAGUCAUCAUUUCAAUUUUCUACGUGUACUAUAAGUAUAUCCCACCCACUCAAUUUUGUCUUCAUGGUAUAAUAUUAAAUCCACUAUAUUUACUAGAACGUAUGCUACGUAAAUAUGUUAAUACGGUAUAUUUAUACCAAAUGUAUGUACUGAUAUCGACUGUUAUUGUACAUUCCUUUUUUAUAUUUUUUUUUUAUAUUUUUUUUUUUUUUUUAUUUUUCAUUUUUGUGCAUAUGUACUUGUUAGUCAUAUUAAUAGACAAGAUGUGGAUCACAAAAGAUAACGUCCCUAUAUCUAAUUGUACAGGGAAAAGCAGUAAUAAUCUUUUGACAUGAAUAUACAUCAAUUACAUCAUUGUUAUACAUUUGGGUCAAGGGCUUCACCAACCGGGGAGAAACGAUUUCAAUGAAAAUAACGACAAUAAUCUUUUGUGUAGAAAAAAAUGUAACAAACUGAAGGUGUGUUUAUUUAGGCAGAAUGCACUCUCACAAAUCGAAGUUAUCUAGCUUAGUCGAUAACUAAGGAUAAACAUGUCUUACAAUACGACACAUUAUGAUUUGAAGUGUGACAAAACCCCUUUUUAAGGACACUUAUUUAACAGGCCUAUAUUUAAUGAAAUAAAGCCAAUGUUUGGCCCCUGCUUUUGGGAUACUAAUUUAACAAACCUAUGUUUAAUGCAAUAAAGUCAAUAUUUGACCCCUGCAUUAGAGAUAAUAAUUGAACACGCCUAUGUUUAAUGCAAUAAAUUUAAUGUUUUACCUCUGAUUUAGGGACACUAACUUAACAAACAUAUAUUCAAUGCAAUAAAGUCAAUAUUUGACCCCGGUUAGUGAAAGCAGAAUUACGUUUUUGGUUAUGAUAUACGACAAAUAUACGAAUUUUGAUAAUUGAAAUGUUAGGGCGAGUGUCGAGAUGACCACCAUUUCCAAGUAAACAUAUCAGGAAUCAUACGCGCCAAUACCUGCAUUCAUUGGGCAGUUAUCUUAUUGUCCACGGUGGUUUAGACAAUAUAAAAAAGGCACGUUUACCUUGACAAUUUGCCAUUCUGCUUGUCGCCUUUCCUGUAUAGAUAAAACUUUUAUUGUUUUAAAGAUAUCGCUUAUAUUUAAUAUUGUACGGCUAAGCUUCCACGUAAUCACAUUAUAGUAGUUAUUCUUACAAAACGUAGCUCUCUAUAAAACCUUCUUGUUAUUUACUGAAAAAAAUAUUAUAGUUAUAUUGAAUAUGAAUUGUUGUAAUUAAUUCAAGAUAUGUAUUGAGAAACGGAUAAGCGUAAUGAUAAACGAAACUGUUAAUGUCCAUGGUAAUUGUUGUAUACGUCUUAUUUGGUUUUAAUUCAAGUAUUGUUUGAAGUAUUGUUAUUUGUUAUUAUUGUAUAUUGAUUCAUUCUUUAUCACAAAUAAAAUAUAGAAGCUGCCA